rnacentral:misc_RNA from 1 species
AAGUCGUAACAAGGUAUCCGUAGGUGAACCUGCGGAUGGAUCAUUAUCGAAUAAUCCACACACCCCAACUUUGUAUGUUUUGGCGGGCGCUUCGGCGAGACCCGCAUUUUAACUCGCAAACUUUGACGAAACAGCUUUGAGAACAACUUUUAACAAUGGAUCUCUUGGCUCUC